CGUCAUUGGGGAGUAGCCGCCCGCCCGGAACACCGGCGGGGACCACGUCAACAUCCUUGGCCGGCAGGCCAUGGCGUGGCCAGCGCAAAGCCUGGCAAGACCUUUGACCAUGCAACCUCCGCAACGGCCGGGGAGGCGCAUGGUCAUG
rnacentral:sRNA from 1 species